UCGCUGGAAAUGCGCAGCCAGAUCGAGACCGCCGACAUCGCCGACGAGGCCGAGAAGAAGGCGAAGAUCGAUCUGAUCAAGGCCGAUAUCGAACGCUUCCGCGAGAUGGUUNCCGAGGAAGUGAUCGAGAUCGAACCGGCGAAGGGCAGCAAGCCGGCCAAGACCAUCACCAAGCCGGGCGGCCUCUACAUCAUCGGCUCAGAACGUCACGAAUCCCGGCGCAUCGACAACCAGCUCCGUGGC
rnacentral:misc_RNA from 1 species